rnacentral:rRNA from 1 species
AUUGAACGCUGGCGGCAGGCCUAACACAUGCAAGUCGAGCGAGCGGCGGACGGGUGAGUAAUGUCUGGGAAACUGCCUGAUGGAGGGGGAUAACUACUGGAAACGGUAGCUAAUACCGCAUACCAUCAGAUGUGCCCAGAUGGGAUUAGCUAGUAGGUGGGGUAACGGCGCACCUAGGCGACGAUCCCUAGCUGGCCUGAGAGGAUGACCAGCCACACGGGAACGGAGACACGGUCCAGAGGCCUACGGGAGGCAGCAGUGGGGAAUAUUGCACAAUGGGCGCGAGCAUGAUGCAGCGAUGCGGCGUGUGUGAAGAAGGCGUUCGGGUGGUAAAGAACGUUCAGCGGGGAGGCGGUACCCGCAGAAGAAGCACCGGCUAACUCCGUGCCAGCAGCCGCGGUAAUAC